GGAUGAAGUUGUAACAAGGAAAGCUAGUUGUUAGUAUCAUCUGAUGUGAUGAGCUUCAGAGCUGGAGGUUUUAAAGAAUAGCGAGAGACGAUGCUCUCUGGUACUGGCUGUGGCAGGACUAACAAUGGCAGGAGAAGCUGGGGGCUCAGGGCGCAGCCAGGGUUCAGACACAACAAGCCAUGAAGGGACAGACCAGAGAAGAGGUUGGGGAUGUAUGGAUUUUACUGAUGAUGGAUAGUGAGGUUCCUCCUCUCUCCCUCUGCCCCCUCGUCAGGCCACCAAAGAGACGCCAGUAAUUUCCUAAUUAUUGCUCUUCUACACCUACCCUCAUCUUCCCAAGAGAAUGCCUCAGUCAGGCUUAUUCCGGGACUUUGGUAAAGAAAGAAGUUCUGAAGACAUGAGAGACACAGACCAAAAGGUGCAGGGAGAGAAUUUAAAAAGAGGCUAAGUCAUAAUAAAUGGCCAGGGGUGGGAGAGGACACGGGGACGUGUUGGGGUGGGAUUGGGAAUGGGGUUGCUGGGAAAGAAGGGGAAUGAGGGAGUUGGUAAAGAAAAGGUCUAGAUUGAUCUAGAUUCUUGUGGGGCUGGAAGGAAUUAGAGAAAAGAGAACAUGAGAAGUCCUGCAGGGGUUAUGAAUUGGACUCCCUUGAAUGUCAAGACAUGAGGAACAAAUGAAAGUCCUUCUCAAUAAUUUCUUUGUCGAACUUCCUUGAAUGCAGCAGUGCUCUGGGGCUGGGCUUGUGGGUAUUGACUAGCAUAGGGUUUAAGGUAGAAAAAGAUACUUAGACCCUACCUUGUGAUUCAAGUCAAGGUUCUGGUCCCUGGAAGAGGUAAAAACCAGGUAGGCAAUCCUUACAGAAUACUAUCAUGAAGGUUUAUCCAAGCCCAUUCAUUCAUUCACUCAAUCUAUCCACACCUUCAAUCACUCAAUCCCUAGACUGUCAACUCCAGGAGGCUGGGAUGGUCUCAUUUUUUUUUUUUUACACCUCCAACACUUAGAUGAGUGCUUAUUCACUCACCCCGCAAAGUGUGCUGUCUGCCUGGCUUCUGCUGUACCUCGUGCCAAGUGCUGCUGUAUGCCAGUGUACAAGGGAAGGGAAGGAAGACGGUGGAGCAUCCAUGGCAAUGUUGGCCCCAGCGCUUUUUUGCUCUGAAAUCCUGGAUUCUCUUGAAGCUCCUGACAGCAAUAGAGCUUGAAAAUACCCUAAUUGGAACGAAGCAGUCCGUGCUCCUCCCGCUGUUCUCACUUCGCAUUAGUUCAACGGUCAUUGUGUGUGUCACGGCAGAUGUAAUUUGUAGAAGAGUAACUGGAGGGUUUAGAGUUUCAAAAUGUAAACCAAACCCUAAGGAACAUGAGGCGUUGGGCAGGAGUUUCCCUCGCUGAGGAAAUCUCUUUGUCCAGAGUAAACGAAAGCGAUUGUGUUUUGUUGACUCCAAGUUUCAAGAAUAAUUGAGUAUCUACUGUAGUUUGGAAGGCUAACUGCUGAAGGCUGUGUUUUUAUCUGUUAACUUGGUGUUUCCUUUUUCCUUGACAGCGUGCACCACUCGAGCGAUAACAGGUCAGGCAGUUGCCUCAAUUAAGCUGCUGGAAGGAGGAGAGUAGAAAAAUUAAAGGUAGCUAAUAGAGAGGUUUAGAAUUAUUGAGAGAUGGGACUAGAACUUCAGAUGAACAAAUCUUCACCAGUAAAAGCAGGAGGGCAGGGUUAGAGCCAAUAAUAAUAGGUAAAGCACUAGUAUGUACCAGACAAUUUUAGGAAAACUUUACAGAAUUAUCUCAUUUAAUUCUUGCAACAAUCCAUGAGGUAGG
rnacentral:lncRNA from 1 species